GUUGUUGGAUUCACUUCAAUCCAUGUGUGUUGGUGUGGAUUGGAGUGGAAUUUAGUUCAAAUUUUCACUCCAAUCCACUUCAAUACAUGUGGAUUGAUGUGAAUCCGACU
rfam:Sorghum bicolor cultivar BTx623 chromosome 4, whole genome shotgun sequence.